rnacentral:rRNA from 1 species
UACGUAGGGUGCGAGCGUUGUCCGGAAUUAUUGGGCGUAAAGGGCUCGUAGGCGGUUUGUCGCGUCGGGAGUGAAAACCUACAGCUUAACUGUGGGCUUGCUUUCGAUACGGGCAGACUAGAGGUAUGCAGGGGAGAACGGAAUUCCUGGUGUAGCGGUGAAAUGCGCAGAUAUCAGGAGGAACACCGGUGGCGAAGGCGGAUCUCUGGGCCUGAUCUGACGCUGAGGCGCGAAAGCUAGGGGAGCGAACAGG